rnacentral:rRNA from 1 species
UACGUAGGGUGCAAGCGUUGUCCGGAAUCAUUGGGCGUAAAGCGCGUGUAGGCGGCUUGGUAAGUCUGGUGUGAAACCUCGGGGCUCAACCCCGAGCCUGCACUGGAUACCGCCUCGCUCGAGUCCGGGAGGGGAGAGCGGAAUUCCUAGUGUAGCGGUGAAAUGCGCAGAUAUUAGGAAGAACACCGGUGGCGAAGGCGGC